UCCUACGGGAGGCAGCAGUGGGGAAUAUUGGACAAUGGGCGCAAGCCUGAUCCAGCCAUGCCGCGUGAGUGAUGAAGGCCCUAGGGUUGUAAAGCUCUUUCAGCGAGGAGGAUAAUGACGUUACUCGCAGAAGAAGCCCCGGCUAACUUCGUGCCAGCAGCCGCGGUAAUACGAAGGGGGCUAGCGUUGUUCGGAAUCACUGGGCGUAAAGCGCACGUAUGCGGACUUUUAAGUCAGGGGUGAAAUCCCGGGGCUCAACCCCGGAACUGCCUUUGAUACUGGAAGUCUUGAUUCCCACAGAGGUAAGUGGAACUCCAAGAGCAAAGGUGAAAUUCCAAAAUAUUCCAAACAACACCAAUGACGAAAGACGCCUCAAUGCCUCGCUACUGAACCCUAACCGGCGAAACCUCGAGUACCAA
rnacentral:rRNA from 1 species